rnacentral:rRNA from 1 species
GAUGAACGCUAGCUACAGGCUUAACACAUGCAAGUCGAGGGGUAACGAGAGGAAAGCUUGCUUUCCUUGUUGACGACCGGCGCACGGGUGAGUAGCGCGUAUCCAACCUGCCCCCAACUAGGGAAUAACCUUGCGAAAGUAAGACUAAUACCCUAUAAUUUCCUCAGAUGUCAUCUGACGAGGAAUAAAGAUUUAUCGGUUGUGGAUGGGGAUGCGUCUGAUUAGCUUGUUGGCGGGGUAACGGCCCACCAAGGCAACGAUCAGUAGGGGUUUUGCGAGGAAGGUGCCCGACAUUGUAACGGACACCCCGUUCAAACUCCUACGGGAGGCGGCAGUGAGUAAUAUUGGUAAAUGGUCGCACGCCUUAACCAGCCAAGUAGCGUGCAGGAUGACGGCCCUAUGGGUUGUAAACUGGUUUUAUACAGGAAUAAAGUUAGCCAUGUGUGGUUAUUUGUAGGUACAGUAUGAAUAAGGACCGGCUAAUUCCGUUCCAGCAGCCGCGGUAAAAC